rnacentral:rRNA from 1 species
AUUGAACGCUGGCGGCAGGCCUAACACAUGCAAGUCGAGCGGGGUCUUCGGACCUAGCGUCGGACGGGUGAGUAAUGCGUAGGAAACUACCCGAGAGAGGGGGCUACCAGUGGGAAACGACUGUUAAUACCGCAUAAUGUCUACGGACCAAAGUGUGGGACCUUCGGGCCACAGUCUAUCGGAUGCGCCUACGUGGGAUUAGCUAGUUGGUGAGGUAAUGGCUCACCAAGGCGACGAUCUCUAGCUGGUUUGAGAGGAUGAGCAGCCACACUGGAACUGAGACACGGUCCAGACUCCUACGGGAGGCAGCAGUGGGGAAUAUUGGACAAUGGGCGCAAGCCUGAUCCAGCCAUGCCGCGUGCGGGAAGAAGGCCUUCGGGUUGUAAGCCGCUUUUGGCAGGAACGAAACGGCGCAAGCCAAUACCUUGCGCUAAUGACGGUACCUGCAGAAUAAGCACCGGCUAACUACGUGCCAGCCGCCGCUGUAAAAC